CAUUGAUUCAUGUUGUUUGCCUUUAGAAACUUCCUUCGACACGAACGCAAACCUAUGAAUGACGAAUGCGAAGUGCUUGCCGGUAACCCUUUGCAAUGCAUUAGGAUUUAGCAGCCGUGAAGGGAGGAGCCGAAGGAAGACGACAUUAGCAUCCUGGCUAAGGACACCCUUGCUUCGCUUUCGCGUCUUAGAUCGAAACAGCCCCAUGUUUUCGUCGGGCUGGUAUUCAUGAACGGGGCUCCGACGCGGGGCGUUCGAUUUCCUUCUCCUUCAUGAAUUUACAAUCGCGAAAACGAAAUCUUGCGCGUGCCGUUCUAAAGGACAAUGAUACAAAAAUAUGACGACCUCCAAAUUAAUUCCUUGAACAUUACAACCUAAAAAAAGCGGUGGAUAAUCGUAUCAAACGAACGGCAACAAAUACUGCAUCCGGGCUAAUAAGGGCGUGAGUCGCGGUAGGGAAACGAGAGAAAUAAAGAGAAGAUGGACCGGCGGACGAGGAUGAGGGGAGGCGAAUGGAAGCUGGAGCCACGUGCUGCUGUCACUGCCACAGAUUAUAUUAUAUAGGAAUGGCAGCGAAUAGGUCAGUGACUGUCUCCUUAAAAUAGUUGGCUAUUUUAAUAUCAGGACUUUUUCAAGAAUUAUAAAUGAUUUUGAUCAUGCAGCAAGUACAUACUGACAACUAAAGGGUAACUAAAAUUUUUGUACUAAUAUAAUUUUCUCAACUUGAAUAACUUGUGUCUCUUUUUUAUAGAAACGGAGAUAGCUUUCAACUCAAUAGCUGCAUCGAUGCUUCAGAAAUAAACAUUUACCACAUGAAAACUUUUUACCAAAAAGGAAAAACAUUAAUUUUGCUU